rnacentral:rRNA from 1 species
AAUAAGAGGUCCCGCCUGCCCUGUGACUAUAUGUUUAACGGCCGCGGUAUUUUGACCGUGCAAAGGUAGCGCAAUCACUUGUCUUUUAAAUGAAGACCUGUAUGAAUGGCAUAACGAGGGCUUAACUGUCUCCUUUUUCCAGUCAAUGAAAUUGAUCCCCCCGUGCAGAAGCGGGGAUACCCCCAUAAGACGAGAAGACCCUAUGGAGCUUUAGACACCAAAACAGAGCAUGUUAAAGGGCCCUUAUAAAGGACGAAACUAAUUGCCCCCUGUUCUAUUGUCUUUGGUUGGGGCGACCGCGGGGAAACAAAAAACCCCCAUGUGGACCGAGAGCACACCACUCCCACAGCCUAGACUGACAAGUCCAAGUAACAGAACUUCUGACCAACAAGAUCCGGUAUAAACCGAUCAACGAACCGAGUUACCCUAGGGAUAACAGCGCAAUCCUCUUUUAGAGCCCAUAUCGACAAGAGGGUUUACGACCUCGAUGUUGGAUCAGGACAUCCUAAUGGUGCAGCCGCUAUUAAGGGUUCGUUUGUUCAACGAUUAAAGUCCU